rnacentral:rRNA from 1 species
CCUACGGGAGGCAGCAGUGGGGAAUUUUGGACAAUGGGGGCAACCCUGAUCCAGCCAUGCCGCGUGAGUGAAGAAGGCCUUCGGGUUGUAAAGCUCUUUCAGCCGGGAAGAAAUCGCAUCAGCUAAUACCGGGUGUGGAUGCCGGUACCGGAAUAAGAAGCACCGGCUAACUACGUGCCAGCAGCCGCGGUAAUACGUAGGGUGCGAGCGUUAAUCGGAAUUGCGCGGGGGGUUGCGUGAGCCAGGGGUGAAAUCCCCGGGCUCAACCUGGGAACUGCGUUUGUGACUGCACAGCUAGAGUAUGGCAGAGGGGGGUGGAAUUCCACGUGUAGCAGUGAAAUGCGUAGAGAUGUGGAGGAACACCGAUGGCGAAGGCAGCCCCCUGGGCCAAUACUGACGCUCAUGCACGAAAGCGUGGGUAGCAAACAGGAUUAGAUACCCGUGUAGUC